rnacentral:rRNA from 1 species
GACGAACGCUGGCGGCGUGCCUAAUACAUGCAAGUUGAGCGCUGAAGGUUGGUACUUGUACCAACUGGAUGAGCAGCGAACGGGUGAGUAACGCGUGGGGAAUCUGCCUUUGAGCGGGGGACAACAUUUGGAAACGAAUGCUAAUACCGCAUAAAACCUUUAAACACAAGUUUUAAGUUUGAAAGAUGCAAUUGCAUCACUCAAAGAUGAUCCCGCGUUGUAUUAGCUAGUUGGGGAGGUAAAGGCCCGCCAAGGCGAUGAUACAUAGCCGAGCUGGAGAGGAGGACGGCCAACUCGGGACUGAGACCAGGCUCAAGAUCCCACGGGGAGCCGCAGGAGGGAAACAUUGGAAAUGGACGGAAGUCUGGCCGAACAACGACGCGUGAGUGAAGAAGGUUUUCCGAGCGUAAAACUCUGUUUGUAGAGAAAAAAGAGGGUGAGAGUGGAAAGCUCAUGAAGUGACGGUAACUACCCAGAAAGGGACGGCUAACUACGUG